rnacentral:rRNA from 1 species
GACGAACGCUGGCGGCGUGCCUAACACAUGCAAGUCGAACGGAACUUAGCGAAUGAAGUUUUCGGAUGGAUUUUGGUAAGUUUAGUGGCGGACGGGUGAGUAACGCGUGGGUAACCUGCCUCAUACAGGGGGAUAACAGUUAGAAAUGACUGCUAAUACCGCAUAAGACCACAGGGUCGCAUGACCCGGUGGUAAAAACUCCGGUGGUAUGAGAUGGACCCGCGUCUGAUUAGCUAGUUGGUGGGGUAACGGCUCACCAAGGCGACGAUCAGUAGCCGACCUGAGAGGGUGACCGGCCACAUUGGGACUGAGACACGGCCCAA